rnacentral:snRNA from 1 species
AUUGCUUCUCGGCCUUUUGGCUAAGAUCAUGUGUACUAUCUAUAUCUAGUCACAUUUUCUUUAUCCAUUCUUCUGGGCAUCUAUACUGUUUCCAGGGAUAGCGAUUGUGAGUUACACUGUAUAAACAUACAGUGUAAACAUU